rnacentral:rRNA from 1 species
UGGGGAAUAUUGGACAAUGGGCGAAAGCCUGAUCCAGCCAUGCCGCGUGUGUGAAGAAGGCCUUUUGGUUGUAAAGCACUUUAAGUGGGGAGGAAAAGCUUAUGGUUAAUACCCAUAAGCCCUGACGUUACCCACAGAAUAAGCACCGGCUAACUCUGUGCCAGCAGCCGCGGUAAUACAGAGGGUGCAAGCGUUAAUCGGAAUUACUGGGCGUAAAGCGCGCGUAGGUGGUUAUUUAAGUCAGAUGUGAAAGCCCCGGGCUUAACCUGGGAACUGCAUCUGAUACUGGAUAACUAGAGUAGGUGAGAGGGGAGUAGAAUUCCAGGUGUAGCGGUGAAAUGCGUAGAGAUCUGGAGGAAUACCGAUGGCGAAGGCAGCUCCCUGGCAUCAUACUGACACUGAGGUGCGAAAGCGUGGGUAGCAAACAGGAUUAGAUACCCUGGUAGUCCACGCCGUAAACGAUGUCUACCAGUCGUUGGGUCUUUUAAAGACUUAGUGACGCAGUUAACGCAAUAAGUAGACCGCUUGGGGAGUACGGCCGCAAGGUUA